rnacentral:tRNA from 1 species
AGGAGGAUAGCUCAAUUGGUAGAGCAAUGAUCUCCAAAGUCAUAAGUUAAGGGUUCAAGUCCCUUUUCUCCUG